rnacentral:rRNA from 1 species
AUGGGAAACAGGUUAAUAUUCCUGUACUUGGUGUUACUGCGAAGGGGGGACGGAGAAGGCUAUGUUGGCCGGGCGACGGUUGUCCCGGUUUAAGCGUGUAGGCUGGUUUUCCAGGCAAAUCCGGAAAAUCAAGGCUGAGGCGUGAUGACGAGGCACUACGGUGCUGAAGCAACAAAUGCCCUGCUUCCAGGAAAAGCCUCUAAGCAUCAGGUAACAUCAAAUCGUACCCCAAACCGACACAGGUGGUCAGGUAGAGAAUACCAAGGCGCUUGAGAGAACUCGGGUGAAGGAACUAGGCAAAAUGGUGCCGUAACUUCGGGAGAAGGCACGCUGAUAUGUAGGUGAAGUCCCUCGCGGAUGGAGCUGAAAUCAGUCGAAGAUACCAGCUGGCUGCAACUGUUUAUUAAAAACACAGCACUGUGCAAACACGAAAGUGGACGUAUACGGUGUGACGCCUGCCCGGUGCCGGAAGGUUAAUUGAUGGGGUUAGCGGUAACGCGAAGCUCUUGAUCGAAGCCCCGGUAAACGGCGGCCGUAACUAUAACGGUCCUAAGGUAGCGAAAUUCCUUGUCGGGUAAGUUCCGACCUGCACGAAUGGCGUAAUGAUGGCCAGGCUGUCUCCACCCGAGACUCAGUGAAAUUGAACUCGCUGUGAAGAUGCAGUGUACCCGCGGCAAGACGGAAAGACCCCGUGAACCUUUACUAUAGCUUGACACUGAACAUUGAGCCUUGAUGUGUAGGAUAGGUGGGAGGCUUUGAAGUGUGGACGCCAGUCUGCAUGGAGCCGACCUUGAAAUACCACCCUUUAAUGUUUGAUGUUCUAACGUUGACCCGUAAUCCGGGUUGCGGACAGUGUCUGGUGGGUAGUUUGACUGGGGCGGUCUCCUCCUAAAGAGUAACGGAGGAGCACGAAGGUUGGCUAAUCCUGGUCGGACAUCAGGAGGUUAGUGCAAUGGCAUAAGCCAGCUUGACUGCGAGCGUGACGGCGCGAGCAGGUGCGAAAGCAGGUCAUAGUGAUCCGGUGGUUCUGAAUGGAAGGGCCAUCGCUCAACGGAUAAAAGGUACUCCGGGGAUAACAGGCUGAUACCGCCCAAGAGUUCAUAUCGACGGCGGUGUUUGGCACCUCGAUGUCGGCUCAUCACAUCCUGGGGCUGAAGUAGGUCCCAAGGGUAUGGCUGUUCGCCAUUUAAAGUGGUACGCGAGCUGGGUUUAGAACGUCGUGAGACAGUUCGGUCCCUAUCUGCCGUGGGCGCUGGAGAACUGAGGGGGGCUGCUCCUAGUACGAGAGGACCGGAGUGGACGCAUCACUGGUGUUCGGGUUGUCAUGCCAAUGGCACUGCCCGGUAGCUAAAUGCGGAAGAGAUAAGUGCUGAAAGCAUCUAAGCACGAAACUUGCC